UUUCCGUAGGUGAACCUGCGGAAGGAUCAUUAACAAAAAUCAAAAAUUCAAAACAAUAAACAACACCAAUUUCAUUCCAAAAUUAUAUUGGAAUGUUUUUUUAAUGGGGAUGUGGAGAUUUCUAAUUUUUUUAAUUAGAUUUUUCUCAUGCUCCAUCAUUUAAAACUCUUAAAAAAACAAAUUCAAAAAUUAUUCCAAAAAUCACUAAAAUAUAAAAAUAGAGACAACUUUUAACAAUGGAUCUCUUGGCUCUC
rnacentral:misc_RNA from 1 species